CCUACGGGAGGCUGCAGUGAGGAAUAUUGGUCAAUGGACGAGAGUCUGAACCAGCCAAGUAGCGUGAAGGAUGACUGCCCUAUGGGUUGUAAACUUCUUUUAUAAAGGAAUAAAACGAGGCACGUGUGCCUUUUUGCAUGUACUUUAUGAAUAAGGAUCGGCUAACUCCGUGCCAGCAGCCGCGGUAAUACGGAGGAUCCGAGCGUUAUCCGGAUUUAUUGGGGUUAAAGGGAGCGUAGAUGGGUUGUUAAGUCAGUUGUGAAAGUUUGCGGCUCAACCGUAAAAUUGCAAUUGAUACUGGCAGUCUUGAGUACAGUUGAGGUAGGCGGAAUUCGUGGUGUAGCGGUGAAAUGCUUAGAUAUCACGAAGAACCCCGAUUGCGAAGGCAGCUUACUAAACUGUGACUGACAUUGAUGCUCGAAAGUGUGGGGAUCAAACAGGAUUAGAUACCCGGGUAGUC
rnacentral:rRNA from 1 species